GAGACAGCAGUAGCCGCGGUAAAACGGAGGGCGCGAGCGUUACCCGGGUUUACUGGGCGUAAAGGGCGUGUAGGCGGCCUGGGGCGUCCCAUGUGAAAGGCCACGGCUCAACCGUGGAGGAGCGUGGGAUACGCUCAGGCUAGAGGGUGGGAGAGGGUGGUGGAAUUCCCGGAGUAGCGGUGAAAUGCGCAGAUACCGGGAGGAACGCCGAUGGCGAAGGCAGCCACCUGGUCCACUUCUGACGCUGAGGCGCGAAAGCGUGGGGAGCAAACCGGAUUAGAUACCCGGGUAGUCCCUGUCUCUUAUAC
rnacentral:rRNA from 1 species